UACGUAGGGGCCAAGCGUUGUCCGGAUUUAUUGGGCGUAAAGAGCUCGUAGGCGGUGUGUCACGUCGGCCGUGAAAACCUGCAGCUUAACUGUGGGCGUGCGGUCGAUACGGGCAUCACUGGAGUUCGGCAGGGGAGACUGGAAUUCCUGGUGUAGCGGUGAAAUGCGCAGAUAUCAGGAGGAACACCGGUGGCGAAGGCGGGUCUCUGGGCCGAUACUGACGCUGAGGAGCGAAAGCGUGGGGAGCAAACAGG
rnacentral:rRNA from 1 species